rnacentral:lncRNA from 12 species
AUGUUGACCCCACUCUCCUUCCGGUCCUUUCCUUUCUCACCUGGUGCACAGCUUGCUUUCCUCAUCUAUGUCUCUCCCACAGGGCCCAGCACACAGUGUGCUUAGACAUUCUCUUUGAAUGAGUAGUUUCUUCCCCCUGACUCUGCUGCCUCCAUGUUUUGCCUCCUUUUCUCAUCGGAGAUCCUGGAAGUCUCUUUAUCACAUAUUCUUAGGCAGGACAUUGGUGUGGACUUUGCAGAUGAGCAGGUCCAGUUUGGUUCCUUCUUUGUAUUCUCCGUAUCCUGAUGAUUACAGAAUUCUGGUUCCCCUUCAUGUUACAUCUUCCCGCCAUUUAUCAGGGUCUGUACCAGGUCCUCUCCUGGAUUCCUGUGUUGAACCUGCCUUGCACAGAGUGGAGUCAGUCCCUUCUUCCAUUAUGGCAUUAUGGAAGGAUAACAGAUACCAGAAGAAAUAUGAAGCAGCAACUGUGAAGCUUGAGCAACCCAACCUUUGCAGCCCUAACCCAACCUGGCUUAAUUCAGCCUCACUGAACCAGAUCUAACACUCUUGGCUCCCAGAUGUUGCUACAACUCUCUGAUCUUUAGGAU